rnacentral:lncRNA from 1 species
UUUCAGGUGUACAAUAUAGUGGUUUGAUUUCACAUAUAAGUAAUAACACAGCAGCAUCAUCUACGAUGCCAAGGUAUGGAGGCAACCCAAGUGUCCACCAGCAGAUGAAUGGAUAAAGAAGAUGUGGUAUAUAUGAACAGCAGAAUAUGAGCAAUAAAAAAGAAUGAAAUUCUACCAUUUGCAACAAGGAGGAUGGAGCUGGAGGUUAUCAUGCUUUAGUGAAACUAGACAGAGGAAGACAAAGCUCACAUGCACCUCUGCAUGUGCCAACUUACAACGAAGCAGCAAACCCCACCAUCUCCCUGAAGAGAGGGCUGCUCUUAGAGCUUCCACUCUUGCUGCCCCUCCUGGUGUCUGGGAAGAGCUAACUUCAGGCUCCUUGACUAAGAGCUCCUGUCAAAGACUGGGCUCCAGAAGCUGGGUUUAUUUUGCGGGUUUUUCUCUAGGUGGAAAAAUCACCAGGUGUUGGAAGACUAUUUGUGCUUCAUCGCAAAGUUAAAAGGAAAAAAAGGAAGUGGCAGAGUUACAUGUAAAGUAUCACCCUGGAAGGAAGGAGGGGAGGGAGGAGAUGGGACAGAGACUAUUCAUCCAACAGACUGAGACCGUCAUCUGGGUAACAAUACCCAUCAACACCAUGUAAAAAAUAAAGGUCGCCCAGAAAGUCAAACAAUUUUUCAUUGAUUUUCUUUAUAUUUUUACGUUGGGUGCUGUGUUAGAGUGAGCACUAUUGUUUGUAAUUUACUGGAUGAGACAUCAUCAUGGACACAUGGUCCAGAUAAGUGGACAGCAGGAUCCACUUGCUGGAAGUCAGGACUCUCACCAUGGGUUUCCCCGAGUUCUGACUGAGGCUGAUCAGUGUCCCCUACCCACCUGGCAGCUGUGGCUGCUCCAGGAGCAUCUUCUGCCUUCCCACAACAGCCCCAAGUAGGGGUGCGGUUCCCAUUUCCCGGGGGGUGGCAAGGAGGGCCUGGCAUUGGCUGAAGCACUGAGGCGUGUCGGCCACACCACAGGCUGCCUUACUGCCCCUCCCGCCCAGGCUGUGGGGCAUGUCCGGGGGCAGCUUGCCAUAGUGUGGGCUCUGAUUGUGACCAGAUUCCAAGAUGGGCCUGCCUCAUAGCUUUGCUCCACUCUGCCAGACCUGCUCCCUGGGCUCCGGACCACUGAGGGACAGGAUGCACGUCCACGCCAGGCAUCUGCAACAAGUCUGUGGAGUGAAUGAGUUCAUUCACAGGCACCUACACACACAGGAGGCUCCUCUCCGGCUCCUGUCCAUGCACAGGGCCACCCUUUUUGUUUUUGAUAAGCCUCAGACCUCAUGAGUAUUUAAUAAAUGUGUGGUAAAAGAAUGAGAGGAUAAGACAUAACCACACACUAACAUCAGAAUAACUGAAAGCAACAAAUAAACAUCAGCCAUCAGGGCGAGGAGGGACCUGGGUGGCCAUGGAUGGAACCUUCCAGCAGGCAAACCACAAAGCAGGACACAGGAUACGAGGGAUUCCUAUUUCCCUGAAUAUUCAGAAAACAGGUACAGAUUUUAGUACAAAGAGUCUCCAAUAUUUCCUUCCUUCUAAAAGAAAGCAGCCAUCUAUGAGUAAAGACAAAACUCUCAGAAACUGGUGGCAGAGGAUUGAAUUUGGUUGAUAUUUAUUACAAUUUUUGAUUUGUAAAAACCUUCACCUAGUAAUUCUACCUCCAAGAACUUAUUCUCGAUUCUGUUCUAGUCUCAGACAUAAAGACAUUUCCCUCUCCCCACGAAAGCUGUUACUGCGAUAACACAAAUCAGCACAAAGAUGUCAAUGUAUCCAGCACCACCUGCCCACCUGCCACAGAGCUUGCUGCUUUUUCAGAACUACAAACCUUACUAAUUUAGGAAGUCCGGGACUAUUUUUAGCAUGUUCUAGCAGCAAUGAGCAGCUGAAUUCUCUGAGGCCUGUUAGCUGUCCUCAGAGCCCAGGGGGAGAGGAAAUGCGUAUCAAGUAGAGAAGUCACGAAGAUUGCUUCUAACAAUCAGUGUGAACCUGAACUCACACAUGCAAGCAACAACCAGCAAACAGACAGGUGUGUAUUCUGGCUUGUCCAGGGGGGAGCUGCUGGACGGGGCUGGGACCCUUUCCUGCUCUUAUCCAGCAGGUCUGUGAGUGAAGCACAUGGAGGGAGCCGGCUCUCGCUCACACAGGCUCGGGCGCCUCAUGGUGUGGGGACCAACCCCCCACCCCCACCCCCAACACGGACUUGGCUCCGUGGGUUUCUGCUCCCCUCUGUGACUACAAAGCAUUUUGAGACAAAUGAGCUAAAAAUAAAGUCAAUAGCUCACAACAUAUGGAUAAAUACUGAACAAGCCGCAGAGAAAUGUCUUAAGAAGAAAAGUCAACAUGGGAUGAGAAUAACCUGCUAGAUAUGAAACUGCCACUUAUUUUCAUUGAAAAAAAAUAGGUUUCUGAAAAUUUAUUAAAAACUAGAAAACAAGGAGUUCCCAUCAUGGCUCAGCACAAACAAACCCGACUAGGAUCCAUGAGGAUGUGAGUUCAGUCCGUAGCCUUGCUCAGGGGGUUAAGGAUCCGGCAUUUCCGUGAGCUGUGGUG